UUACAAGGUUGAGCAGAUAUGUCA
rnacentral:piRNA from 1 species